AGUAACUGCGAGUGAAGCGGGAAAAGCUCAAAUUUAAAAUCUGGCGGUCUCCGGCCGUCCGAGUUGUAAUCUAGAGAAGUGUUAUCCGCGCUGGACCGUGUACAAGUCUCCUGGAAUGGAGCGUCAUAGAGGGUGAGAAUCCCGUCUUUGACACGGACUGCCAGGGCUUUGUGAUGCGCUCUCAAAGAGUCGAGUUGUUUGGGAAUGCAGCUCAAAAUGGGUGGUAAAUUCCAUCUAAAGCUAAAUAUUGGCGAGAGACCGAUAGCGAACAAGUACCGUGAGGGAAAGAUGAAAAGAACUUUGGAAAGAGAGUUAAACAGUACGUGAAAUUGCUGAAAGGGAAACGCUUGAAGUCAGUCGCGUUGGCCGGGGAUCAACCUUGCUUUUGCUGGGCGUACUUUCCGGUUGAUGGGUCAGCAUCAAUUUUGACCGUUGGAUAAAGUCUAGGGGAAUGUGGCAUCUUCGGAUGUGUUAUAGCCUUUGGUCGCAUACAACGGUUGGGAUUGAGGAACUCAGCACGCCGCAAGGCCGGGUACUUGUACCACGUUCGUGCUUAGGAUGCUGGCAUAAUGGCUUUAAUCGACCCGUCUUGAAACACGGACCAAGGAGUCUAACAUGCCUGCGAGUGUUUGGGUGGAAAACUCGGACGCGUAAUGAAAGUGAAAGUUGAGAUCCCUGUCGUGGGGAGCAUCGACGCCCGGACCAGACCUUUUGUGACGGAUCCGCGGUAGAGCAUGUAUGUUGGGACCCGAAAGAUGGUGAACUAUGCCUGAAUAGGGUGAAGCCAGAGGAAACUCUGGUGGAGGCUCGUAGCGAUUCUGACGUGCAAAUCGAUCGUCAAAUUUGGGUAUAG
rnacentral:rRNA from 1 species